GUGUUGUGCCAGUUGCGGGUAGCAACUUACAUGUCUAGUACACGAAGCUAUCAUCCAGUUUGCCGAUAUCCAGGAAAUUGUUUGCUGAUGUAAGACUAAAAAUUUAUUCGGCUAAAUAACAUUGUGUAGCACAUGCAGACAUUCUGAACAGCACGGUAACCUCCGUGAGCACUCCUUGUAAAUUAACCAAAAUUUUUCAGAUGACUUAGGCAACCAGAAUCAGGGAUACUUAUUGUGAGGCCUGUUUGUUCAAGAAAUUGAAAUGCCAUUACUGGUUGAAACAAAGCAGGAAUUCCAUCUGGAUUAGAUUUACAUUGUCCAGCUACGGAAAUUUCACAUUGGACAAAGGGAAAUUACAGUAAAAAGGCUGAAACUAAUAAAAAGUGCUGUAUUGGUUUCUAAGUGCAUUCACGCCAAUGUAUAGUUCCUGUCGGUAUAAAGCUAACAGAAAAUGACACUGAGAACUGAAAGGAAAAUGAUUGAGGAUUUUGAACAGUGUUUAACAUUAAAAUUUUUAUUUCAAACUGAAUAGCGCGACACUUGUUUUGUUACCCAGGCUCCGUUGUAAAUCCUAUAAGGAGGAAAAUUUCCAAAAGGAUAAUUGAACUUCGAAUAUAGAAGUAAACUGGGCCAGUUCGGUUUUCUCUGCCAAUUCUCAGCAGAAGAAAGUCCCAUCUGGUCAUUUACGCGAACCUUCGUGAAGUCCUAACCCUUCCUUGAAUUAAUACUCGAGAGUAGGUAGUUUGGAAACCGUCGGGACUGCAACCUGGAUUCGUAUCAAACUUACUUUUUUUUAGCGGGGGAUGGGCACUCCCAAACCAACUUUCUUCCUAGUUCCAUCUCGUAGUUCUUUUAUCUUUUUCCUACCUUCCUCUCGUUACAUUGGUUCCUUAUCCUUGCUCUUCUUGUAGGAACAGAGAGAGGCAGCUAUUCCUACAGCCGGCGUCUGGACGAGUUGGCCAGGAUCAUUGGAUCAUUGAAACUGCAUGAGAGCGGUCUGUCAGUUUAUCUUAUAAAGCAGACAGCCCGUUCUCACCCAGAACCCGCUGAUGACCUGACGGGGAGCGGUCCGCUCCUUACUUAAUGGAAAAGCUGUUUUCAAAUUCCAAUAAUGUUUGGCAUGAUGGAAAUCUUUUACUGGGAAUUCUUCAUCAUCUGCCUGAAGGUAUGAUCUGUUAAUGGCACAACCUAUGGCGUGUUAAAUAGUGUUAUUCUAGAUUAUUCUGUCUUGACAUGUUCCUUGAAGAUUCCUAGAAAAAUGGAUGGAUUUCCUUUUCCUAAUAAUACCCAUCAGUUGCAAUUAGUUUUGUAUAGACAAAAAUAACCGGCCAUGUUUAGCUAAGUGCAGCGGAUUGAGGUGAAUAUCCGAAAAACCGGCCACUGUUUUGUUCAGCCUCUGGCUAGUAACUUUUAGUCUCUUCAUUACUAAUCCAUAGUUGUCUUCUACAAUAGCAAAUUCUCUAGUGAAAUUACUAACAUGAAUUCGGCAGUUGUCAACGCCGAUUUCGGAGGGGAAAAGAGAUUGGAGACGAGAAAAGACGUAUAUCUACAUAGUUUGAAAUUUUCAAAGGCCAUAUUGAUGGUAAAAUACUGAUCACCAUGGAGGCUUUGGUGUUGUUGCCCCAGUAACUAACCUGUGACCAACUCUGUUGAAAAUGGAUACGUCUUAAAUCGCUAAAUAAGCCGAAGUAGAACGCAGUCAAUGAUAGUUUAUUUUAUGGCGGAGUUGCAAAAGCCAUUGCGGACCGCAGUUUUUUGUUCGAUGCAGUACAAUAUCGUCAGCAGCAGUCAACAGACAUCAAAUUCAUAAUCCGUUAAGUUACUUGUUCUUGCUAAUCACUUAUGGCAUUACCUUGCUCAGUUGACUUUGGAUUGUAUCAAUCGUCCCACCAGCAAGCUCGUAAGACAAAUAACUCUGAAGACGAACAACAAAGGAGAAAAGAAUCGAAUGCAGUCGACUAUGAAAACAUCCUGGAAAAUUUUAACAAAACAAAGAACUUGCAGUUGAGAACAUUUAUCUGGCUCUGUUUACCGGCUUCCUUCCCGGGAAUUGUCGUUGUAGAAGGAACGCCCAUUAUAGAUGCUUCGUGGAAGUUGGUGACGAAAAUGUCACAUCCCUUUCGACUAAUGGCUCAUCGUUUACUCCUUCAUGGCUGAACCAAAUGAUUCCUUUUGCAUAGAGAAAACGAAAUAGCCCAAUGUUAUCUGCAUAACAUUUUGUUGGCAAAUUUCAAACAGUGUGAUCUCAACCAGUCUAUCCAUGACACGUUCCGGAAAAAGUGCACCCGUUGGGUUUAUGAUACUUGUGUAUUCCGUUCAACAAUCGUCAGUGAUUUCGACUUAACUUGUGAAAAUGAAUGGAAGCAAACUGUUGCCAGAAUGUUGAACGGAGCACUUAGGAUUGGUUACAUCGGGGUUACUAUCGUGAGAAGGAAAACAUUUACGCUGAACGUAUUUCCACUUGGGAUCUUAACGACGGCUUCCGCAUUUUCACCUGAUUGGAUCACAUUCUGCUAAUUGAGUUUUUUCUCAGGAAUUGGUGCUUCUGGCCACUUCCUAAUUAUCUUUGUCUAUGGAUUGCUGGAGUGAUGAGAUAUUAUGGUUGAACUUAUUCGGCUGCAAAUCUAGUGGGAAACUUUUAGCCACUCUACUUGUAUACCUCGUAACUGUUUCCCACUUUCGGCAGAAGUGCAAUGGUCGGGUUAUGCUCCAUCUGCGGCCGAAUAAGAGGGAUAUUAGCCCCAAACAUCUCUGACUGGGGCAAGAAAACUGAUGUCCUUGGUUUUUUCCACCAUAAACAUAUUAGUUGAGUUCCUAUGUUUCCUACUUCCGGAGACAAAAGGAGUUCCUUCCCAGCUUCAAUAAAGGAAGCUAUCGAAAUGAAACCGGAAUUCCUAGCGAAUGGUUUUUAAGCAAAAUCGCGAAAGGUCGAGCAUUAGCAAAGGCGUUAAUAAGGUUGGAUUUUGCAAUUUUGUACUUACCAAAACCAGAAUUUGUGAUACCUGAUAUGUACAUUUUCACAUUUUCGUUUCUACCCUUAGGUUACCCUUCGUUUACUACAGACGGUAGAGCCAAAUUAAUUAGAAAUAUAGUAAGAAACGAGUUUAAUGGGAAUGGUAAAAAAAAAAAAAAAAAUGGAGAACUUGAAGUUUAGAUUGGCUAGUCACCAACCAGGAAUUGAAUGCUUGUAGAAACUAACAGUGUAGGAUGCUUUAUAGACUUGUUACUAACAUUUAAUAUAGCUAAUAGUGAUUGUUAUGCUAGCAAGAUUUGAAGUCCGUGUGUUAUACUAAUGAUUGUAGGAAGUGAUUUAAAACUGAGUUAUUUGCAUAUUGAACACAAUUUAUGAAGAAAAUAGUCGAAGUAGGCGUCUGGUAGAUGUAUUUGUGACUUCUUGAAAACCUAAUUUCAUGACAGCUCUUUUGCGCUUUUUGUGAGGUGACGAGCUAGAUUGUCGCGGUGACGUAUAAUUCAAUUCCCUCGAGGACACAGAAGGCUUCCGCGAUUUGUAGGUGUAGUUAGCUAGGAAUAGUGCUAGCAGGUGCUAUUAAUGAGCGUAAGCUACUCUUUCAACUCAUCUCCCACUUGACGAAAACACAUAAUAGUUCAUUGACAUUGAACUUCCAUCACAUGGAAGAAUCCUUGAAUGAAUUUUACUUUAUUCCAUGUUAGUUAAUACAAGAUAUUUGUGAACGGCAAAGAUUGCACUUGGAAUGGGACGUUUCGAAAGAUUUUAAACUACUUCUCAGAGAAUGUCGGUAUGUAUAAGUAAAGCGAUUCUAGCUUUAUAGUACAGCUUCUACCAUGAGGUGAUUCCAUGUCAAUCUUGACUAAUUCUUUGAUAAUUCACAUAGGACAAAUACAGUCAAGUAAAGCACGCUGCAGAUUACCUGAGAGGCAAUCCUAAAUCAACUUUAUGAAAUGAGAAUAACAUAGCCUGGAAGAGGAAGUCUUCAUUUUCCACAGCUCAGAUGCCAGUAAGUGUUGUUAUUAAAAUACCGAAUCAAAUGGCGUUCCAUAACAAAGUCACAUGCGUUUCUUCGGCCUCAAAUAUGGUAAUCAUUGUUUUCUGGUUAACAAUUUAUUGCGGUAACUUUAUAGACAUCCCGCACUGCCAUAUAGUGUGCAAUCUGGUUUAAAGAUAAGCCCGACUUUUUUUUAUUUUGUAUUCGAAGAAACAUAAUCUGCUGUAACUAAAAUAAAACUCUGAUUAUAAAUAUCAUGUAAAUUUUACCGUAAGCUAAGCGGUUUUUGAAUAAAAUGAAAUCAAAGUGGUUUAUCGCAACCACUUUGAAUUUAAA